GGUGCCGUAGCCAGAAGGAAAAGGCAAGAGUCUGCAAAACUUAGAUUGUUGGUUCAAAUCCGACCGGUACCG
rnacentral:tRNA from 1 species